GAGCUCGUAGGUGGUUUGUCACGUCGUCUGUGAAAUUCCGGGGCUUAACCUCGGGCGUGCAGGCGAUACGGGCAAUACUUGAGUGCUGUAGGGGAGACUGGAAUUCCUGGUGUAGCGGUGAAAUGCGCAGAUAUCAGGAGGAACACCAAUGGCGAAGGCAGGUCUCUGGGCAGUUACUGACGCUGAGGAGCGAAAGCAUGGGUAGCGAACAGGAUUAGAUACCCUGGUAGUCCAUGCCGUAAACGGUGGGCGCUAGGUGUAGGGGACUUCCACGUUCUCUGUGCCGUAGCUAACGCAUUAAGCGCCCCGCCUGGGGAGUACGGCCGCAAGGCUAAAACUCAAAGGAAUUGACGGGGGCCCGCACAAGCGGCGGAGCAUGUGGAUUAAUUCGAUGCAACGCGAAGAACCUUACCUGGGCUUGACAUACACCGGACCGGCGUAGAGAUACGUCUUCCCUUGUGGCCGGUGUACAGGUGGUGCAUGGUUGUCGUCGGCUCGUGUCGUGAGAUGUUGGGUUAAGUCCCGCAACGAGCGCAACCCUUGUCUUAUGUUGCCAGCACGUGAUGGUGGGGACUCAUGAGAGACUGCCGGGGUCAACUCGGAGGAAGGUGGGGAUGACGUCAAAUCAUCAUGCCCCUUAUGUCCAGGGCUUCACACAUGCUACAAUGGUCGGUACAGCAGGUCGCGAACUCGUGAGAGUAAGCCAAUCCUCCAAAGCCGGCCUCAGUUCGGAUUGGGGUCUGCAACUCGACCCCAUGAAGUCGGAGUCGCUAGUA
rnacentral:rRNA from 1 species